CUCGGGGCGUGCCCGGAAGACGGCGGCGGCGCCGGGCCCGGUGCCUGGCGGCCUCCGGCAGCCUCGGUGCCCUUCCGCCUCCGUUGCUUUGCCUGCCGGCCUCCGGCCCCGCCGCCUCCGCCAUGGCCGGCGGCGCCUCGGCCGCCGACUGCCUGCGGGAGUGGGAAGAGCUGCAGGACGGCUACCAGCGCAUCCAGGAUAAUCACAAGCUGUACAAGCAGAAACUCGAGGAGCUAACCAAGCUGCAGGAUGGGAUCUCCAGCUCCAUCGCACGGCAGAAGAAGCGGCUGAAGGAGCUGUCCUUGUCCCUCAAAAAAUGCAAGGCCCACGUGAGUCCCGAACAGCAGGAGUCCAUCCAGGAGACCCAGAGCCUAAUCAAAGAGAGGCAGAACGUCUUCUUUGAGAUGGAGGCCUAUCUGCCAAAGAAGAACGGGUUGUACCUGAGUCUGGUGCUCGGGAACGUGAACGUCACGCUGCUCAGCAAGCAGGCUAAGUUUGCCUACAAAGAUGAGUACGAGAAGUUCAAGCUCUACCUCACCAUCAUCUUGCUCAUCGUGUCCUUCUCCUGUCGGUUCCUCCUCAACUCCAGGGUGACAGACGCCGUCUUCAACUUCCUCCUGGUGUGGUACUACUGCACCCUCACCAUCCGGGAGAGCAUCCUGAUCAACAACGGAUCCAAAAUCAAGGGCUGGUGGGUUUUCCACCACUACGUCUCCACGUUCCUGUCGGGCGUCAUGCUGACUUGGCCGGACGGGCUCAUGUACCAGAUGUUCAGGAACCAGUUCCUCUCCUUCUCCAUGUACCAGAGCUUUGUGCAGUUCCUCCAGUACUACUACCAGAGCGGGUGCUUGUACCGGCUCCGAGCGCUGGGCGAGAGGCACAACAUGGAUCUCACUGUGGAGGGCUUCCAGUCCUGGAUGUGGAGAGGCCUCACGUUCCUGCUCCCCUUCCUCUUCUUUGGGCAGUUCUGGCAGCUGUACAACGCCGUCACCCUCUUCCGGAUGAUCCAGCACCCGGAGUGCAAGGAGUGGCAGGUCCUCAUGUGCGGCCUCCCCUUCUUCAUCCUCUUCCUGGGGAACUUCUUCACCACACUCCGCGUUGUCCACCAGAAGUUUCAGAACCAGAACAAAGACACCAAGCGGGACUGAAGAGGGGCGCUGUAGGGGCCAGGACUUGCUUCUCCCCACUGGCUCCGUCCUCCGUUCCCAUCUCCUUGCCUCGAUGCCGUCCGGACUCGGGUGUCUCUCCCCGUUCCGUGGAACAGGGGGCCCGGGACAGCCGCUCCCCUCCUCUGUGCCCUGAAGACAUUUGCAGGGAUGGUUCUGGGGUGGAGCCCGACUCCUCCUCGCCCUGCUGCGGGCAGGGAGCAGCCUGGGGCACCCAGCUUGCAUCAGCACCCUUGGGACGAGGCCGGGUGUGAGGCUGACGGGUGCCUGGUGCUGAAGGCUCACCUUGUCCCCAGCCCUGCAGCCGGGGCAGCUCCUGGUGCUGAAGGCAGAGGCCAGCAGGGAGCAGUCGCUGCCCCGGCAGCCCCCUGGGCUUUCGGGGGAGGUCGGGGCCAUGCAGACACGCUGGCUUCCAGCAUGGGCUGCCCCCGGUUCCUCCUCGCUGCAGAGGGUGCUGAGCUGGAGGAGCUGGGGCAGGGGAGGGGUGGGAGCACCGCGAGCCCGCCCCAGGCUUUACUCUGGAGCUGUGCGAGCAGCACCCUGGGCUUGCAUCGCUGGAGGAUGCAUGUGCAAAAAUAAUAAAGGGAAGGCGCUG